UUAUUGACUUGAAUUCCUUGUGUGAUUGUGUUUUAUUUAUUUCACCCGUAUAGUUGAGAUAAUUGAGGUGGUUAUGUAUUAUAUUCAUAUUGAUGGAUUGAGAUGCAUCAUCAUUCCCUCUAUUGAAACAAUAUUGUGCACAUGCAUCGAGAUGAGACUGAGUAUAAGUUGGGCACGUGGAGAUCGUCCGUGCUGGGGAUGGUGAGAUGUUAAGAUUGUAAUUUGGGCACGUGGAGACCGUCCGUGCGAAAAUUGUUUGAUAUUAUGAUAGUGCGUUGAGAUCGUCUGCACAGACAUGUGGAGAUCGUCCGUGUCGGUAUAUGGACCUCGUGAGUUCCCCAUGGGUCAUGAACUCUCGAUGUAUUUCCGAGGAGUAUCAUGUAUAUACGGUUGAGUGAGUACUGGGUAUUCUGAGACAUAUCAUUACAUGACAUCAUAUUGCAUUGCAUUUCAUCCCAUCAUUCAUUCUUGAUGACUAUAUGUUUCGUUUGGUGUUUGGAAAAUAUUAAAUGUUGAUUUCCUUUAUUGAUGAAACUUAAAUAGUGAGUGUAAUAUAUAUAUAUAUAUAUACUUGUAUAAUUUAAGAACUUAUUUUCUUAUAUAAACUCCCGUCACUACUUCUUCGUUGUCGGUCAAUGAGACAUAUUGGGUACACGUGGUUUCGUACUCAUACUACGCUUGUUGCACUCUUUGUGGUGCAGAUUCGAUUCCGAGUAGGAGCACAUCUCGUGGAUCAAAUUGAGUCCGGAUUGAAGUUCUUGGAGUUGUGGUGAGCUGCUUGGCGGUUCUGUGGCCCACACCUCCCUCUAUCUUUUACUUAUUCUGUUAUUCCGUAUUCAGACAGGAUAUCCCUUAUGUUAGAUUUGCCUUUUAGUAUCAGACUUGCAUCGUAUUAUAGAAGCUCUUGUACUCAUGACACAAUUUCUUGGGUAGUAUUUUUUUUCAGUUUUCCACAUUCGUACUUAUAAGAACUCAGUGUUGGAGAUUAGGAAAUUGUUGUCUUUUCACUUCUUUGUUAGUUAAGUUUGUUAAAAAUAUGUUGGUUGGCUUACCUAUUGGUUGGGAAUAUAGGUGCCAUCAUGACUCGUGAUUUUGGGUCGUGACAAAUUUGGUAUCAGAGCCCUAGGUUCAUCGGUCUCAAGGGUACAAGGGCAAUGUCUUUAGAGUCUUGCGGAUCGGUAUGAAGACGUCCAUACCUAUCUUCGAGAGGCUAUAGGACAUUUAGGAAAUAUUCUGUUAUUUUAUUCAUUAUCGUGCUCACUUGACCUUGUAGAAAUUCUAAUCUUGAUAUCUCAUUCUCUCUCAGAUGGCGAGGAAUCGUACAUCGGCAAGUGGUGGUCAGGAUCCUAUUCCUGUGCCUGCUUCUGGGAACACUAUCCGAUGUAGAGGUAGGGGACGAGCUCGAGGUCGGGGUAGGGGCCGUAUUGCAGCACCUGUGGGUGGUCAAGUACCAAUAGCUACCCAGGGUCAUGAUAGGACCGUACCUCCUGGUGCAGAUGUUCUUCAUGUGGAUGUGCAAGAUCGUGUCGAGGGGGAUGGGCCAGCUCAGGCUCCAACCAGUACUAUUGUUCCCUAAGUGCUUCAAGAUACCCUGGCUCGUAUGUUAGGAAUCCUAGAGGGGAUGGCCCAGGCAGGAGCUUUGCCUGUCACUUCCUGGACUGAGUUUACUCAGGUAUUUCUAUCCAAAUUUGUUCCACGCAGUGAGAGGGAGCGCAAGAGGGCCGAGUUUGAGGGUUUGUAGCAAAAUGGUAUGUCAGUUGCAGAAUAUGAGGGUAAAUUUCAUGCCUUGGCUAGGCAUGCUUCGAUGAUACUUCCCACAGAGGCUGAGAGAGUGAGAAGGUUUGUUAAGGGGCUGAUUAUUCCGAUCCGUCUAGGAGUUUCUCAGGUUGCUGCUUUUGGUGUUCCAUUCCAGAAAGUGGUGGAUGCUGCUAAGGAGUUGGAGAUGAUUCGACGUGAGGGAUUUGAGCAGCGAGAGGGCAAGAGGACUCGUUAUUCAGGCGAUUAUGGUGGUGCUCCGCCUAGGAGUCGGGGUUUACUUGGGCAGAGGUUAUCACCCUUAGUCCAGCAGACCCAUUCAUGCUGCUAUACCAGCGUCUGAGGCUGGUUACGCUGGGCAUAACUCUUCGAGCUCUGUACAUACUUCGCAGGGUUCAUCUUCUAGACCUGUAGUUCGUGGAGGGCAUUCUGGUCAUUCGGGUUCCUCUCAUCAGCCUGCAUCUCGUAGGGGUUGCUUUGAGUGUGGUUAUAUGGGACACUUUGUGAGAGACUGCCCUAGGACCAGACGUGGUGGUUUACAUCAGGGUUCUCAGGCUUCGACUUCCAGGGUUGCACAACCUCCAGCUAGGGGUGGUGCACAGAAUGGUAGAGGUGGUUCUCAUUCAGGUAGAGGUGGUUCUCCUUCUGGUCGAGGUGGUGGUCGUGGAGGUUCACAAUCUGAUGGAGGUCGUUCUCACUGUUAUGCUAUUCCAGGUAGGCCAGAGGAUGAAGCCUCAGAUGCUGUUAUCACAGGUAUUAUUCCGGUUUGUCAUCGACCAGCUACUGUAUUAUUUGAUCCAGGCUCUACUUAUUCUUAUGUGUCCACAUAUUUUGCUCCUAGUCUGGAUAUAUUGUGUGAGUCUCUUGAUUUGCCGAUACGUGUUUCUACUCCUGUCGGGGAUUCUGUAGUUGUAGAUCAAGUGUAUCGUUUAUGUACUGUUACUUUGAUGGGGUAUGACACUCAUGCAGAUCUAAAGGUCUUAGAAAUGAUAGAUUUUGAUGUGAUUCUUGGUAUGGAUUGGUUAUCUUCUUACUACGCAAUUUUAAAUUGUCAUGCUAAGACCAUCACUUUAGCUAUGCCUGGAAUUCCUAUAGUAGAAUGGAGAGGUACUCUUAUACAUCCUUCUAAGGGUGUGAUAUCAUUCCUUAAGGCUCGUCAGUUGGUACAGAGGGGAUGUUUGGCGUACUUGGCCCACAUUCGAGAUACUAGUAUUGAGACUCCUUUGCUUGAGUCUAUUCCAGUAGUGAGUGAAUUUUCAGAAGUAUUUCCGACCGAUUUGCCAGGUCUUCCACUAGAUCAAGAUAUUGAUUUUUGUAUUGAUGUGGAGCCAGGCACUCGGCCUAUUUCCAUUCCUCUUUAUCGUAUGGCACCAGCUGAAUUGAAAGAGUUGAAGGAGCAGCCGCAGGAUUUGUUGAGCAAAGGUUUUAUUAUACCAAGUGUAUCUCCUUGGGGUGCUCCAGUGUUAUUUGUGAAGAAGAAAGAUGGAUCUAUGCGUAUGUGUAUUGACUAUCGGCAGUUGAACAAGGUAACCAUCAGAAAUAAGUAUUUGAUACCUCAUAUUGAUGAUUUAUUUGAUCAGUUGCAGGGUGCUUCAGUUUUCUCCAAAAUUGACUUGAGAUCUGGCUAUCAUCAGCUGAAGGUUAGGGCGGAGGAUAUCCCUAAGACAACUUUUCGAACACGUUAUGGUCAUUACGAGUUUUUGGUGAUGUCUUUCGGACAGACUAAUGCCCCAGCAGCUUUUAUGGACUUGAUGAAUGGAGUGUUCAGACCGUAUUUAGAUUCCUUUGUUAUUGUCUUUAUAGAUGAUAUAUUGAUAUACUCACGCACUAAGGAGGAGCAUGAGCAUCAUUUGAGGAUUGUUCUUGGGAUUCUAAAGGAGAAGAAGCUUUAUGCAAAGUUUUCAAAGUGUGAGUUUUGGCUUAGUUCGGUAGCAUUCUUGGGACAUGUAGUGUCCAAGGAGGGUAUCAUGGUGGAUCCUAAGAAGAUUGAGGUGGUUAGAGAUUGGGUCAGACCUACUUCAGUUACUGAGAUUCGGAGUUUCUUGGGCCUUGCAGGUUAUUAUCGAUGGUUUGUUGAGGGUUUCUCAUCCAUUGCAUCUCCAUUAACUAGAUUGACACAAAAGGAGGUGACUUUUCAGUGGUCUAACGAAUGUGAGGUUAGUUUCCAAAGGCUCAAGACUUUAUUGACUACUGCUCCAAUUUUGACACUACCCGUGGAGGGAGAGGGUUUUGUUGUAUAUUGUGAUGCUUCUCGGAUUGGUCUUGGUUGUGUGUUGAUGCAGAAGGGAAGGGUGAUAGCUUAUGCUUCGAGGCAGUUAAAGGUUCAUGAGAAGAACUACCCUAUUCAUGAUUUAGAGUUGGCGUCUGUUGUGUUUGCAUUAAAGAUUUGGAGGCAUUAUCUUUAUGGUGUGCAUUGUGAGGUGUUCACGGAUCAUCGUAGUCUCCAGUAUAUAUUCAAUCAGAGGGAUCUCAAUUUGAGGCAGAGGAGAUGGUUGGAGUUGCUCAAGACUACGAUAUGACUAUUCUUUAUCACCCAGGCAAAGCAAAUGUUGUAGCAGAUGCCUUGAGUCGGAAGGCGGUAAGUAUGGGUAGUCUAGCCAUGUUACAGGUUGGCGAGCGUCCUUUAGCUAGGGAUGUCCAAUCCCUGGCCAAUAGCUUUGUGAGACUUGAUAUUUCAGAAUCUGGUAAGGUGUUGGCUUAUAUGGAGGCUAGGUCAUCCUUGUUGGAGCAGAUUCGUGCUCAACAGUUUGAUGAUGGUGAUUUAUGUAAGAUUAGGGACAAGGUUUUAAAAGGAGAAGCCAAGGCUGCAAUUCUUGAUAGUGAGGGAGUUUUGAGGAUUAAGGGUCGUAUAUGUGUUCCUCGUACAGGUGAUUUUACUAGAUUGAUCAUGGAGGAGGCUCGUAGUUCGAGGUACUCUAUUCAUCCAGGGGCUACUAAGAUGUAUCGUGACUUGAAGCAACACUAUUGGUGGUGUCGUAUGAAGAGGGACAUAGUAGAUUUUGUAUCUCGAUGUUUGAAUUGUCAGCAAGUGAAGUAUGAACACCAAAAGCCUGGAGGUAUGACUCAGAGGAUGCCCAUACCUGAGUGGAAGUGGGAGCGCAUUGCUAUGGACUUUGUGGUAGGGUUUCCACGUACCUUGGGUAAGUUUGAUGCUAUAUGGGUCAUCGUGGAUCGACUGACUAAGUCUGCACACUUUGUACCAGUUCAGACUACCUAUAACUCAGAGAAGUUAGCCAAGAUCUAUAUUCAAGAGAUAGUUCGUUUGCAUGGAGUUCCUAUAUCUAUUAUUUCAGAUCGUGGCACCCAAUUUACAUCUCAUUUCUGGCUGUCUAUGCAGAAAGAGUUGGGCACUCGAGUGGAUCUUAGUACAGCCUUUCACCCUCAGACUGAUGGUCAAUCUGAGCGAACUAUUCAGGUUCUUGAGGAUAUGUUGCGGGCAUGUGUGAUUGACUUUGGUGGUCAGUGGGACCAGUUCUUGCCUCUAGCAGAGUUUGCUUACAAUAAUAGUUAUCACUCGAGCAUUGAGAUGACACCAUUUGAGGCUCUGUAUGGCAGGAGAUGUCGAUCUCCAAUUGGCUGGUUUGAUGCAUUUGAGGUUAGACCAUGGGGUACAAAUUUGUUGAGGGAGUCCUUGGACAAGGUCAAGUUGAUCCAAGAUAGACUUCUCAUGGCACAGAGUAGGCAAAAGAGUUAUGUAGAUCGAAAGAUUCGUGAUUUAGAGUUUAUGGUUGGAGAGAGGGUUUUAUUGAAGGUUUCACCCAUGAAGGGUGUGAUGAGGUUUGGAAAGAAGGGCAAGUUGAGCCCAAGGUAUAUUGGUCCUUUCGAGAUUAUUGAGCGUAUUGGUGAGGUGGCGUAUCAGUUGGCUUUGCCACCUGGUUUGUCAGGUGUUCAUCCUGUAUUUCAUAUCUCUAUGCUUAAGAAGUAUCAUCAGGGCGGUGAUCAUGUGAUUCAAUGGGAUUCAGUGUUACUUGAUCAGAAUUUUGACUUUUGAGGAAGAGUCGAUCUCCAUUCUGGAUAGGCAAAUUCGAAAGCUAAGGUCCAAGGAGAUUGCUUCAGUAAAGGUUCAGUGGAAGCACCGUCCAGUGGAGGAGGCUACAUGGGAGACAAAGUCAGACAUAAGGAGUAAAUAUCCUCAUCUUUUUGAGCAUUCAGGUUAGUUCUUUUCUUUUUCCGUUCGAGGACGAACGUUUGUUUAAGUGGUAGGUGAUGUAACAGCCCGCUAGAUCGUUUGGAGAACUCAAACUAUCUUUACUCUUUCCGUAGAAUUUAAAAUUAAAAAAAUUGAAAUAUUCGGUAACCACGAUUAUUUAGUUGUCAGAUAAGUGUUAAAUAUUUAAUAUAGCUGCAUACUUAAUGGGCCAGAUCAACACCUAAUUUAGUUAAAACCUUUUUUUUUCACUUAGCCCAUUUAGUAAAUUAAGAUAAAUGAGUGAUUAGCAUAACCCCAUUAAUAUAUUCUGGCAAAACGUGUAGGGGAAAAGAAACCGUCGACUUCAGGUGAACGAUUUAUUCUCAAACUUUUCAAUUCUUCAUUUGAGUAUAUUGUCAAGUGAAUUAAAUUGUUUUUUUAAAUUAUUUGUUGGUGUGUAUAUGAGAAAAUAGAUUAUUUUUGGAUCUGUUCAGAUCCCUUGUGAAGGAACGGAAAAGAACCAUUUUUUUAUUUAUGUGAUAACUUUAUCAACCUAAGGGGGGAGCAUUGAAUGCCCAUUAAUGAGGCUCAUUAUGGAAGUGGCAGAUGACAUGACCAAUUCUUUGGGAAUUAAGCAAUUGAACCGAUUAAAAUUAAAGAAAAGAAUGAAGGAUCUCACAUUUAAAGUGCAUUUUCUUGUUUGUUAACUAGUGAAAAUGGGUAUUAAUUUAUUUAUUUACAGAAUUUAGUCACUAGUAUUAGUAUGUUAUCUUUAGAGAAUUAAGUUUUUUUUUAUUGCAUUGGAUUAUAUAAAUCUUCAUAUUGACGAUGAAGGAUAUAUUAUUAAUAGUAGGUAUUGCUGGAAAUUUUUUUGGGUUGUACAACUUGUUAAUUUAAUUUAUUCCUAAUGACUAGCAGGUAAAUUAAGUGAGUUACCGUAAGUAUUGAGGGUGUUGGAUUAGAGUAGAGGAGAAUGUUUAUAUUAAUUAUUAUCAUGUGUAAUUAUUUAAUAAGAAUUAGGCAUAACCAUUGGGGAAAAAAAAGGGGGAAUCUUUGGCAAACAAAAGCUUUAUUUCAUAUAUGAAACCUGCGGAAAAAUUCCAUAGACAUUAUUUAUUUAAGUAAGUUACAUCAAACUACUUAUUGGCUUUAAACUUUUAUUUCAUUUUUAAUUUUCAUAUAGUAAUACUCCAUAGAGUAUAUGGAUAUAGCUAACAAAAUUUUGGUGGUAUUGUGUUACAUGAGUAUUAUUAGAAUCAUAAUAUUUUGAGGAGUUGAGGCUUGACAGUAGGCUUGAAAUUUAGUAAGUACAAUCUUGACAUAUAAAAUAUAUCAAGAGUAGGAGCUUGAUUGGAUACAUGAGUGAGUUUGGAGUUUAGGUUAGACAUAUAACCUAUGAACUCGCUUACUUACGAAUAUUGCACAAUGGAUAGAUUGGGAACGUUCCGAAGCUUUGCGAAAGGGAAAGGAAAAAUCUUGAAGAUUGGUGACACGAGUUCGGCAUUUAAGGUAUGUUAAGACUUUUUUUUAGACUUGUUGAAGGACGUUUUCCUAAUUAAAAAUAGACAAAGGGGUAAGGGGGAAAGAUGGUGGUCUCGUAUCAAUGGUGUGAUGGGCAUUGGUACGAGUACCGGUGUUAUAAAAAGGAAAAUACUAUUAUAGAAUGUGGAUUGAAAUUUGAGAAUGUCAAAGCAUAUGGGCAUUAGCUGAUAUAUUAUUGACUUGAAUUCCUUGUGUGAUUGUGUUUUAUUUAUUUCACCCAUAUAGUUGAGAUAAUUGAGGUGGUUAUGUAUUAUAUUCAUAUUGAUUGAUUGAGAUGCAUCAUCAUUCCCUCUAUUGAAACAAUAUUGUGCACAUGCAUCGAGAUGAGACUGAGUAUAAGUUGGGCACGUGGAGAUCGUCCGUGCUGGGGAUGGUGAGAUGUUAAGAUUGUAAUUUGGGCACGUGGAGACCGUCCGUGCGAAAAUUGUUUGAUAUUAUGAUAGUGCGUUGAGAUCGUCC
rnacentral:lncRNA from 1 species